rnacentral:rRNA from 1 species
AGCGAACGCUGGCGGCAGGCUUAACACAUGCAAGUCGAACGGGCAUUUUCGGAUGUCAGCGGCAGACGGGUGAGUAACACGUGGGAACGUACCCUUCGGUUCGGAACAACUCUGGGAAACUGGAGCUAAUACCGGAUACGCCCUUAUGGGGAAAGGUUUACUGCCGAAGGAUCGGCCCGCGUCUGAUUAGCUAGUUGGUGGGGUGACGGCCUACCAAGGCGACGAUCAGUAGCUGGUCUGAGAGGAUGAUCAGCCACACUGGGACUGAGACACGGCCCAGAAUCCUACGGGAGGCAGCAGUGGGGAAUAUUGGACAAUGGGCGCAAGCCUGAUGCAGCCAUGCCGCGUGAGUGAUGAAGGCCUUAGGGUUGUAAAGCUCUUUUGUCCGGGACGAUAAUGACGGUACCGGAAGAAUAAGCCCCGGCUAACUUCGUG